CUAGUCUAGUGGACAUGGCAUCUACCCGGUAAGUGGAACAUUGUGGGUUCGAUUCCCAUCCCUAGA
rnacentral:tRNA from 1 species